rnacentral:rRNA from 1 species
ACACGCUGGCGGCGUGCCUAAUACAUGCAAGUCGAACGGUCUUUCUAUGGAAGCUUGCUUCCACUGAGAAGAUAGUGGCGGACGGGUGAGUAACACGUAGGUAACCUGCCCAUAAGAGGGGGAUAACAUCCGGAAACGGGUGCUAAUACCGCAUAGUUUUCUUGAUCGCAUGAUUGAGAAAGGAAAGACGGCCUUUGUGCUGUCGCUUAUGGAUGGACCCGCGGCGUAUUAGUUAGUUGGUGGGGUAAUGGCUCACCAAGACGAUGAUACGUAGCCGACCUGAGAGGGUGAUCGGCCACAUUGGGACUGAGACACGGCCCAAACUCCUACGGGAGGCAGCAGUAGGGAAUCUUCCGCAAUGGACGAAAGUCUGACGGAGCAACGCCGCGUGAGUGAAGAAGGUUUUCGGAAUCGUAAAACUCUGUUGUCAGAGAAGAACAAGUUGGAGAGUAACUGCUCCAGCCUUGACGGUAUCUGACCAGAAAGCCACGGCUAACUACGUGCCAGCAGCAGC